AAGAAAGUUAUUAAGGGCACACGGUGAAUGCCUUGGCUCUCAUAGGCGAUGAAGGACGUGAUAAGCUGCGAAAAGCUUCGGGGAAGUGCAAACGACUUUUGAUCCGAAGAUAUCCGAAUGGGGCAACCCGUAACAUUGAAGAUGUUACAUCCAAUGCGAAGCUAACCCGGGGAACUGAAACAUCUAAGUACCCGGAGGAAGAGAAAACAAAUAGUGAUUCCCUAAGUAGUGGCGAGCGAACGGGGAACAGCCCAAACCAUAGUUGUUAAGGCAACUACGGGGUUGUAGGACUGCGUUAUGAUAUGUAUGCGUGAAGCUGAAGUUUCUGGAAAGAGGAACCAUAGAGGGUGAUAGUCCCGUAAGCGAAAGCAAGUACAUUCUAGCAGUAUCCUGAGUACCGCGAGGUCGGAGACGCCUUGUGGGAACCAGCCGGCACCAUCCGGUAAGGCUAAAUACUAAUGAGAGACCGAUAGUGAACUAGUACCGUGAGGGAAAGGUGAAAAGAACCUCGAACAGAGGAGUGAAAUAGAACCUGAAACCGUGUGCUUACAAGCGGUCGGAGUCCCGUAAGGGAUGACGGCGUGCCUUUUGCAUAAUGAGCCUACGAGUUACUCCUCACUGGCAAGGUUAAGGACCUAAGGUCCGUAGCCGAAGCGAAAGCAAGUCUGAAUAGGGCGUAUAGUCAGUGGGGGUAGACGCGAAACCUUGUGAUCUACACAUUUGCAGGAUGAAGUGACGGUAACACGUCAUGGAGGUCCGAACCGGUAAGCGUUGAAAAGCUUUCGGAUGACAUGUGUGUAGGGGUGAAAGGCUAAUCAAACUGGGAAAUAGCUCGUACUCCCCGAAAUGUCUUUAGGGACAGCGUCAAAUGAAUUGUCAUAGAGGUAGAGCUACUAAUAGGGCUAGGGGGAGUCAAAUCCUACCAAACCCUGAUAAACUCCGAAUGCUAUUGACAUAUAUUUGGCAGUGAGGCCUGGGGUGCUAACGUCACAGGCCGAGAGGGAAAGAACCCAGACCAUCAGCUAAGGUCCCAAAAUCUAUGUUAAGUUGGUUAAACGUGGUCAGAUUGCAUUGACAGCUAGGAUGUUGGCUUGGAAGCAGCCAUUCAUUUAAAGAGUGCGUAACAGCUCACUAGUCGAGCGAUCUGGCGUGGAUAAUAAGCGGGCAUUAAACAUAGUACCGAAGCUAUGGCAUCGAAAGAUGGGUAGGGGAGCAUUCUAACAGCACCGAAGGUUCUUCGUAAGGAGGGCUGGAGCGGUUAGAAAAGCAAAUGUAGGCAUAAGUAACGAUAAGGCGGGUGAGAAACCCGCCCACCGAAAGACUAAGGGUUCCUGAUCAACGCUAAUCGGAUCAGGGUUAGUCGGGACCUAAGGCUCAUCCGAAUGGAAAUGCCGAUGGACAAUGGUUUAAUAUUACCAUACCGGUGCAAUCAGUGAUGGAAUGACGGAGUAGUGAAAGGUCCGCGCACUUACGGAAUAGUGCGUUGAAGCCCGUAGAUAUAAGACCUGUUGGAAAAUCCGCAGGACUUGUCGAAGGUGACAGUACCAUGAGUCUUCGGACAAAUGGAUAGUGACCCUAAUCAGACUUCCAAGAAAAUUUCCUAAACUUAUGAUUGUACCGCCCGUACCGUAAACCGACACAGGUAGUCGAGAAGAAUAUUCUAAGGUGCUCGAGUGAAUCAUGGCUAAGGAACUCGGCAAAUUGACCCUGUAACUUCGGGAUAAAGGGUGCCCCCCUCGCGGGGGGCCGCAGAGAAAUGGCUCAGGCGACUGUUUAACAAAAACACAUGGCUAUGCUAAAUCGAAAGAUGAUGUAUAUGGCCUGACACCUGCCCGGUGCUGGAAGGUUAAGAGGAGAUGUCAUCCGUCGCAAGACAAAGCAUUGAAUCGAAGCCCCAGUAAACGGCGGCCGUAACUAUAACGGUCCUAAGGUAGCGAAAUUCCUUGUCGGGUAAGUUCCGACCUGCACGAAUGGUGUAACGAUCUGAGCACUGUCUCAGUCAUGAGCUCGGUGAAAUUGUAGUAGCGGUGAAGAUGCCGCUUACCCGCAACGGGACGGAAAGACCCCGUGCACCUUCACUACAACUUUGCAUUGAUUCUGGAUAAAUGAUGUGUAGGAUAGGUGGGAGACUUUGAAGCGGUGGCGCUAGCCAUCGUGGAGUCAACCUUGAAAUACCACCCUUUAUUUAUUCGGAGUCUAACCCCGAUCAUUCGGGGGACAUUGCAUGGUGGGUAGUUUGACUGGGGUGGUCGCCUCCAAAAGAGUAACGGAGGCUUUCAAAGGUACCCUCAGCACGCUUGGUAACCGUGCGCGGAGUGCAAUAGCAUAAGGGUGCUUGACUGUGAGACAUACAAGUCGAGCAGGGUCGAAAGACGGAUAUAGUGAUCCGGUGGUUCCGCAUGGAAGGGCCAUCGCUCAAAGGAUAAAAGGUACGCCGGGGAUAACAGGCUGAUCUCCCCCAAGAGCUCACAUCGACGGGGAGGUUUGGCACCUCGAUGUCGGCUCGUCACAUCCUGGGGCUGGAGAAGGUCCCAAGGGUUCGGCUGUUCGCCGAUUAAAGUGGCACGCGAGCUGGGUUCAGAACGUCGUGAGACAGUUCGGUCCCUAUCUGUUGUGGGCGUUGGAAGUUUGAGAGGACCUGACUCUAGUACGAGAGGACCGAGUCGGACGUACCUCUAGUGUACCAGUUGUUCCGCCAGGGGCAUCGCUGGGUAGCUAUGUACGGUUGAGAUAAGCGCUGAAAGCAUCUAAGCACGAAACUCGCCUCAAGAUGAUACUUCCUUUAAGGGUCGUCAGAGACUAUGACGUUGAUAGGUUGCAAGUGUAAAGUCAGUAAUGACAAAGCUGAGCAAUACUAAUUGCCCGUAAACUUUUUAUC
rnacentral:rRNA from 1 species